rnacentral:tRNA from 1 species
AAGAUACUAGUAAAGCAUUACACUGUCUUGUCGAGACAGAAUCGCGGGUUAAUCCCCCGCGUAUCUUA